rnacentral:rRNA from 1 species
AGCUCCAAUAGCGUAUAUUAAAGCUGUUGCAGUUAAAAAGCUCGUAGUCGGAUUUCGGGCGGCGGCCAAUGGUUCGGUUCCGUGCCGAUACUGCUGGUCGCGGCCUCCACGCCGGUCGUCCUUCGAUGCUCUUAACUGAGUGCCUUAGGUAGCCGGAGCGUUUACUUUGAAAAAAUUAGAGUGUUCAAACAAGGCCUCGAGCCUGAAUGAUGGUGCAUGGAAUAAUGGAAUAGGACCUCGGUUCUAUUUUGUUGGUCUUCGGAACUAGAGGUAAUGAUUAAUAGGGACGGACGGGGGCAUUCGUAUUGCGGCGUUAGAGGUGAAAUUCUUGGAUCGUCGCAAGACGGACUACUGCGAAAGCAUUUGCCAAGAAUGUUUUCAUUGAUCAAGAACGAAAGUA